GGGGACGGGCGGCGUGCUUACCAUGCAAGUCGAGCGGUAAGGCCCUUCGGGGUACACGAGCGGCGAACGGGUGAGUAACACGUGGGUAACCUGCCCUGUACUCUGGGAUAAGCCUUGGAAACGAGGUCUAAUACCGGAUACGACCACUGAUCGCAUGAUCGGUGGUGGAAAGUUCCGGCGGUAUGGGAUGGACCCGCGGCCUAUCAGCUUGUUGGUGGGGUAAUGGCCUACCAAGGCGACGACGGGUAGCCGGCCUGAGAGGGUGACCGGCCACACUGGGACUGAGACACGGCCCAGACUCCUACGGGAGGCAGCAGUGGGGAAUAUUGCACAAUGGGCGAAAGCCUGAUGCAGCGACGCCGCGUGAGGGAUGACGGCCUUCGGGUUGUAAACCUCUUUCAGCAGGGACGAAGCGCAAGUGACGGUACCUGCAGAAGAAGCACCGGCUAACUACGUGCCAGCAGCCGCGGUAAUACGUAGGGUGCGAGCGUUGUCCGGAAUUAUUGGGCGUAAAGAGCUCGUAGGCGGUUUGUCGCGUCGGCCGUGAAAACUUGGGGCUUAACUCCAAGCUUGCGGUCGAUACGGGCAGACUUGAGUUCGGCAGGGGAGACUGGAAUUCCUGGUGUAGCGGUGAAAUGCGCAGAUAUCAGGAGGAACACCGGUGGCGAAGGCGGGUCUCUGGGCCGAUACUGACGCUGAGGAGCGAAAGCGUGGGGAGCGAACAGGAUUAGAUACCCUGGUAGUCCACGCCGUAAACGGUGGGUGCUAGGUGUGGGGGGCUUCCACGCCCUCUGUGCCGCAGCUAACGCAUUAAGCACCCCGCCUGGGGAGUACGGCCGCAAGGCUAAAACUCAAAGGAAUUGACGGGGCCCGCACAAGCGGCGGAGCAUGUGGAUUAAUUCGAUGCAACGCGAAGAACCUUACCUGGGCUUGACAUGCACUGGAAACCAGUAGAGAUAUUGGCCCCC
rnacentral:rRNA from 1 species